rnacentral:rRNA from 1 species
GGAAAACCUGAUUAAUACCGCAUAUGGCCUACGGGUCAAAGUCUUCGGACGCCUUGAGAGGAGCCCGCGGCCCAUUAUUUAAUCCUAGUUGGUGGGGUAAUGGCCUACCAAGGGUACGAUGGGUAGCUGGACUGAGAGGACGAUCAGCCACACUGGAACUGAGACACGGUCCAGACUCCUACGGGAGGCAGCAGUGGGGAAUAUUGCGCAAUGGGCGAAAGCCUGACGCAGCCAACCCGCGUGUGUGAUGAAGGCCUUCGGGUUGUAAAGCACUGUCGUGAGGGAAGAAGUUCUGACGGUACCUCACAAGAAAGCACCGGCUAACUCCGUGCCAGCAGUUGCGGUAAUACGGAGGGUGCAAGCGUUGCUCGGAAUCACUGGGCGUAAAGGGUCCGCAGGCGGCUUGGGGUCGGAUGUGAAAGCCCAGGCUCAACCCUGGAACUGCAUUCGAAACCCCCUGGCUUGAAUACGAGAGAGGAAAGUGGAAUUCCUGGUGUAGAGGUGAAAUUCGUAGAUAUCAGGAGGAACACCAGUGGCGAAAGCGACUUUCUGGCUCGAUAUUGACGCUCAUGGACGAAAGCGUGGGUAGUAAAUAGGAUUAGAUAUCCUGGUAGUCCACGCCGUAAACGAUGAAUGCUAGCUAACGGUCCUUUUACCGGAUCGUCGGCGUCGCUAAUGCAUUAAGCAUUCCGCCUGGGAAGUACGGCCGUAAGGCUAAAACUCAAAGGAAUUGACGGGGGCCCGCACAAGCGGUGGAGCAUGUGGUUUAAUUCGAAGCAAUGUGCAGAAUUUUACCCAGACUUGACAUCUUUAGAAGCCCUUGGAAACUUGGGUGUGCCGUCUUAUGACGGAACUUUAUGACAGGUGCUGCAUGGCUGUCGUCAGCUCGUGCUGUGAGGUGUUUGGUUAAGUUUGGCAAUGAGCGCAACCCUUAUCGUUAGUUACCAUUAUUAAGUUGGGGAUUCUAGCGAGACUGCCGGUGAUAAACCGGAGGAAGGUGGGGACGACGUCAAGUCCUUAUGGCCCCUUAUGUCUGGGGCUACACACGUGCUAUAAUGACAUCUAUAAAGGGCAGCGAAGCGGCGAUGUGGAGUAAAUCCCAAAAAAGAUGCCUCAGUUCGGAUAGGAGUCCGUAAUUUGACUCCUUGAAGCUGGAAUCGCUAGUAAUCGCGGAUUAGUAUGCCGCGGUGAAUAUGUUUUCGGGCUUUGUAUAUAUCGCCCGUCACACCAUGGGAGUUGUCCGCGCCUGAAGCCGUGACCCGAAUUCUUUGAAUAGGGAGCGUCUACGGCGAGGUCGGCGACUGGGGUGAAGUUGUAAUAAGGUA